UUCACAAAUUGGACAUAAGUCGCGCAUUCGUUUCUUUAUGGUCAUUCCCAAAUAGCCAUAUUCACAGAGUCCACGCCUGUUAAACAAACCAGUGUUCAUUACAUCAAAACAUAGUCCUAGGGGCAAAUCCUGAAGAGCCUUCUACAGUGGACAUAAUAGGAUAAAAUGCAGCAUUUCAUUCAAACACGGACAAAGGAAAUUAUACUAUGAUUGGCUAACCCCUCCCCCCUUAUUUUCUUGAGUAGCAGUUAGCAUGGAACAAAAUAGGUAAAAUAACCACAAGUAACAUCUGAGUAUGGCUACAGUUGCAGCACAUCCACAGAAACUGGUUUAAACUCUUCUCAUUUUAUAUCUGGAAGACAAUUGCGAGUUAACCAUACUAUACUUUUUUAACACUAUCACUCUAUUCUAAGAUGUUUUAUGACCUUUUGACAACAGGAACCUUUAGAAAGCUUUUAUAGCUGGAACUGUUUCAAAUACAAACAACCAUUCUUAGAAGGGGCAAAUGAUUUAAAAGUCAUGCAUGCCCACCUAUACAGACCAGCCUCACGUGCUUGAUAUAUCAGAGACUCACUCUUCUAUUUCCACUUUUCCAACUUCUGUGUCCAGUUGUUAUUGUUGUUAUGAUUAUUAUAUUAUUAUUGUUGUUGAAAUAGUAAGUCCUGCUUAACAAUUUUUUAUACAAGUAGGAACAAGUGGAGAAUUAUCGAUCACCAUAUGGAUGGAAGUAUCAAAUUCAUCAGUGGAGAACAAGGAACUUGCCUUACAGAAAGAACUAGAAAAAUUUCCUCCCAAAACCUUGGUCACCACUAGCCUUGCCAUCUCCAAAGUCAUCAGAACGGCUUGAACGAUUUUCAUUAUCAGAACGGAAACCACCAAAUCCACUAGAGCGGCCUGAACCAAAUCCUCCAAAACCAGUUGAGCGAUCUGAACUCUCGGAAUUUCCAAAGCCACCAGUCCGAUUUGAACUUCCAAAGCUU
rnacentral:lncRNA from 1 species